UAAUUAAGGGCGUAUGGGGAAUGCCUAGGCUCUCAGAGGCGAUGAAGGACGUGAUAAGCUGCGAAAAGUUGCGGGGAUCUGCACACAAGAAUUGAUCCGCAAAUAUCCGAAUGGGGCAACCUGGCAUAUUGAAGAUAUGUUAUCCAGCAAUGGAGGCGAACCCGGAGAACUGAAACAUCUAAGUACCCGGAGGAGAAGAAAACAAAAGUGAUUCCGAUAGUAGCGGCGAGCGAACUCGGAUUAGCCCAAACCAAUAUUGUUACGGCAAUAUUGGGGUUGUAGGACCACGAUAUUCUGUGCUUUAUGAACUAGAACGCUUUGGAAAGAGCGGCCAUAGACGGUGAUAGCCCGGUAUAGGUAAAGACAGUUACAGAUAGUGGUAUCCUGAGUAGUGCGGGGCACGUGAAACCCUGUAUGAAUUUGGCGGGACCAUCCGUUAAGGCUAAAUACUCCUGAGAGACCGAUAGUGAACCAGUACCGUGAGGGAAAGGUGAAAAGAACCCUGAAUAAGGGAGUGAAAUAGAACCUGAAACCAUACGCUUACAAGCGGUCGGAGCGAUAAGUGACGGCGUGCCUUUUGCAUAAUGAGCCUACGAGUUACUUUAACUAGCCAGGUUAAGGCCUUCAGGGCCGGAUCCGUAGCGAAAGCGAGUCUGAAUAGGGCGUUUAGUUAGUUUGAGUAGACGCGAAACCGUGUGAUCUACCCUUGGGCAGGUUGAAGCUUUGUUAACCCAAAGUGGAGGACCGAACCCGUUGACGUUGAAAAGUCUUGGGAUGACCUGAGGGUAGGGGUGAAAGGCCAAUCAAACUCGGAAAUAGCUCGUACUCCCCGAAAUGCAUUUAGGUGCAGCGUUGAUUUAUAGUUUUAUAGAGGUAGAGCUACUGAUUGGAUGCGGGGGCUUCACCGCCUACCAAUUCCUGACAAACUCCGAAUGCUAUAAAAUGUUAAUCAGCAGUGAGGGCAUGGGUGCUAAGGUCCAUGUCCGAGAGGGAAACAACCCAGACCAUCAGCUAAGGUCCCCAAAUGUAUGUUAAGUUGUAAAAACGCGGUUGAACUGCUUAGACAGCUAGGAUGUUGGCUUGGAAGCAGCCAUUCAUUUAAAGAGUGCGUAACAGCUCACUAGUCGAGCGGUUCGGCAUGGAUAAUAAUCGGGCAUAAACAUACUACCGAAGCUAUGGCAUCGAGAGAUGGGUAGGGGAGCAUUCUAUAUGUAUUGAAGUUGUACUGUGAGGUAUGGUGGAACGUAUAGAAAAGAAAAUGUAGGCAUAAGUAACGAUAAUGCGGGCGAGAAACCCGCACACCGAAAGACCAAGGUUUCCUCAGCUAUGCUAAUCAGCUGAGGGUUAGUCAGGACCUAACGCGAACCCGAACGGGGUAGUGGAUGGACAACGGGUUAAUAUUCCCGUACCUGCUCACAUUAAAAGCGACGGAUUCGAAUAGUUAGUGCGCACAGACGGAAUUGUGCGUUGAAGGGAGUAGUAAUACCCCGAUAGUACACUAAGGCUACGGCCGCGGUGAUAAUCUAGCGAAUCGAGUUCCAAGAAAAGCAAGUGAAGCAGCCUGUACCGUAAACCGACACAGGUGGUUGGGAUGAGAAUUCUAAGGUGCUCGAGAGAUUCAUGGCUAAGGAACUAGGCAAAAUCGACCCGUAACUUCGGGAGAAGGGUCGCCCAUCUUUUAGAUGGGCCGCAGUGAAGAGGUCCAGGCGACUGUUUAUCAAAAACACAGGGCUCUGCUAAAUCGAAAGAUGAUGUAUAGGGCCUGACACCUGCCCGGUGCCGGAAGGUUAAGAGGAGAGCUUAGCGUAAGCGAAGGUUUGAAUUGAAGCCCCGGUAAACGGCGGCCGUAACAAUAACGGUCCUAAGGUAGCGAAAUUCCUUGUCGGGUAAGUUCCGACCUGCACGAAUGGCGUAACGACUUCCCCACUGUCUCCAGCAUCGACUCAGCGAAAUUGAAGUCCCCGUGAA
rnacentral:rRNA from 1 species